AUUGAACGCUGGCGGCAUGCCUUACACAUGCCAGUCGAACGGUAACAGGUCUUCGGAUGCUGACGAGUGGCGAACGGGCGAGUAAUACAUCGGAACGCGCCCGAUCGUGGGGGAUAACGAAGCGAAAGCUUUGCUAAUACCGCAUACGAUCUACGGAUGACAGCAGGGGACCGCAAGGCCUCGCGCGAACGGAGCGGCCGAUGGCAGAUUAGGUAGUUGGUGGGAUAAAAGCUUACCAAGCCGACGAUCUGUAGCUGGUCUGAGAGGACGACCAGCCACACUGGGACUGAGACACGGCCCAGACUCCUACGGGAGGCAGCAGUGGGGAAUUUUGGACAAUGGGCGAAAGCCUGAUCCAGUCAUGCCGCGUGCAGGAUGAAGGCCUUCGGGUUGUAAACUGCUUUUGUACGGAACGAAAAGACUCUGGUUAAUACCUGGGGUCCAUGACGGUACCGUAAGAAUAAGCACCGGCUAACUACGUG
rnacentral:rRNA from 1 species